rnacentral:rRNA from 1 species
UUGACCUCGGAUCAGGUAGGGAUACCCGCUGAACUUAAGCAUAUCAAUAAGCGGAGGAAAAGAAACCAACCGGGAUUGCCUCAGUAACGGCGAGUGAAGCGGCAAGAGCUCAAAUUUGAAAGCUGGCUCCUUCGGGGUCCGCAUUGUAAUUUGCAGAGGAUGCUUCGGGUGCAGCCCCCGUCUAAGUGCCCUGGAACGGGCCGUCAUAGAGG